rnacentral:rRNA from 1 species
UACAACUCUUAUCGAUAAGCCAUUGGAGGGCAAGUCUGGUGCCAGCAGCCGCGGUAAUUCCAGCUCCAAUAGCGUAUAUUAACGUUGUUGCAGUUAAAAAGCUCGUAGUUGAAGUGUGGGUGGUGCUGUCUGAGUAACUUCGGUUAGUCAGAUGAUCACUACCCCCUUCCAGUAUCCAGUAGUGGGUAUUCAGUUACUUACUAUUGUGUGUUGGUCGUUUACUGUGAGAAAAUUAGAGUGUUCAAAGCAGGCGUUUGCUUGAAUAGAUUAGCAUGGAAUAAUAAUUGAAGGCUUUCGUGUUCGAUUUGAUUGGUUUGUUCAUGGAAGCAAGGUUAAAAGGAACAGUUGGGGGUAUUCAUAUUCACUAGUUAGAGGUGAAAUUCUCGGAUUUAUGGAAGAUGAAC